rnacentral:rRNA from 1 species
GAUCAUGGCUCAGAUUGAACGCUGGCGGAAUGCUUUACACAUGCAAGUCGAACGAUGAACCUUAGCUUGCUAAGGGGAUUAGUGGCGAACGGGUGAGUAAUAUAUCGGAACGUACCUUGUAAUGGGGGAUAACUAGUCGAAAGAUUAGCUAAUACCGCAUACGCCCUGAGGGGGAAAGUAGGGGAUCUUCGGACCUUACGUUAUAAGAGCGGCCGAUAUCUGAUUAGCUAGUUGGUGGGGUAAUGGCCUACCAAGGCGACGAUCAGUAGCUGGUCUGAGAGGACGACCAGCCACACUGGAACUGAGACACGGUCCAGACUCCUACGGGAGGCAGCAGUGGGGAAUUUUGGACAAUGGGCGCAAGCCUGAUCCAGCCAUUCCGCGUGAGUGAAGAAGGCCUUCGGGUUGUAAAGCUCUUUCGCAAGGGAAGAAAACUUACAUUCUAAUAAAGUGUGAGGCUGACGGUACCUUGAUAAGAAGCACCGGCUAACUACGUG